rnacentral:misc_RNA from 1 species
AAUGGUCUCUGUCCCCUCCUCACUUGCCCACCUCUUCCUCUCCUUUCUGGUUCCUCUCUCAAUAAUCUGUGCAAGAGAGAAAAACAAAGCCAUGGAUCAGCUUUGCCGCAACAGUCUUCCCUUCUGCAUCCCCAACCCUUGUGGGCCUGGAACCGAAGGUGGACUGUUUGUUCCUAACCCAUGUUUCUCACCCUGUGGUCGUCAGACCUUAGCCCUCCUCGUCGAGAACCAAUCAACUCAAUCUUCCUGUCGUGAACCUAGCAAUCCCCAAUCCCCUUUUGCUUUUGCUACCCAACAUUACUCUCCCUUACUGUUGUCUCCCUGCAUUGGUCUGGCUGUAAGCUCCACACCGACACUAAUUUAUUUCUUGGCCAGCUCAUUUUCA